GCCGCUUGGCAAAAAUAUUGCCGCAAGGACAGGGCUUAGUAGGUUUCUCUCGAAAGGCCUUGAGGCAAACAAGGAG
rnacentral:sRNA from 1 species